UAAAUACUUCGCUAACAGUCGUCACAGACAGAGUGCGCUUCCAUUUCUUUUGUGACGACGUGCCUCUCUAAACACCAGCUCUUCUCGUUCUGUCCGUAAAAGACAAAGAAACAUGUCCGACGAAGGAAAACUUUUCGUCGGUGGCCUGAGCUUCGACACAACAGAAGAAUCUCUGGCUGAAGCUUUCGCUAAGUAUGGAAACAUAGCAAAAGUUGAUGUCAUCAGGGACAAAGAAACGGGAAGAUCUCGUGGAUUCGGCUUUGUUAAGUACGAUAAUGCCGAGGAUGCGAAGGAUGCAUUGGAUGGCAUGAACGGCAAGUCAGUUGACGGCAGAACAAUUCGUGUGGACGAGGCAGGCAAGGGUGGUGGUCGUUCUGGAGGCGGAGGUGGUGGAUUCAGAGGGUCCAGAGGCGGUGGUGGAUAUGGCGGUGGAGGUGGAUAUGGAGGGGGGAGAGGAAGAGGUGGUGGAGGAUAUGGUGGUGGUGGUGACAGGGGAUAUGGUGAGAGGAGCUAUGGGGGUGGCGGUGGAGACCGGAGCUAUGGCGGUGGCGGCGGAGACCGGAGCUAUGGAAGUGGUGGUGGAUACAGGAGCGGCGGUGGCGGAGGAUACUCUUCCGGUGGUGGAGGAUACAGGGACAAUAGUUAGGGGCCAGGGAGGCUACGGGGAUCGCUCUGGGGGAUCCUACAGAGACAGCUACGACAGUUAUGCUGCUCACGAGUAAAAAUCUGCCCCCCCGAUUCAAGAUCAUCCCUUGGCUGGCUGUAUUUAAAAAGAUGCGCUCCUCUCAAGAAAUUUGUCCACGUGUUGACCUGAUGAUUUUUUGUAGUCCUAUUCUGUGUUUAAGUAGCUCGAGCGUCUUUAAAUUUAGCCAUUGGGUUUCGGCCAUUCAUUUACAAACCAUGUUUAAUAGAAGUUCCAGUUGGAGAUGUUCUCUAAAGGAUGCAUCUCUAUUUGCUCUUAUGGCAUUUCAAUUGAUAAAGCAUAAUGUCUGACUUGUUGGUGCUGCAAAUUUAGUGAACGAAAAUAUUGCUUCACAUGGCUGUUUUUGAAUAACAGCCUCAGUUACUUUCUACGCCCUGUUCCUAUCCAGCACUGUCUGACAUCACCAUUUGAAUCCUAAAUAUUAAUAUUGGGGAUACCAAUGGGGCUUGUUAACUUCCUGUUUUUGUUUUAAACGACAAUGUCCGACCUACCUCCUGCCAAGUUUUAAAACAGUAAAAAAAAAUAUUCCACUUAGAUGCUUUUGAAAACUGGCCGGGAAGUGCUUUUUGGAUUUUAUGAAUGCAUUCCUUGUGUUGCUAGGCAGCAAUGCCUUCACCCAUACCAUUGAGGUUCUUGAUAUAGCCGACGGUCCUGUGUUAAGUUUCCAAAAAGAGUGAAUUCCUUUAAGGCUGGUGACACUGCACGCCUGAAGUGGCCGGCUGUUCAUGAAGUUGCAAAUUGCAGUGGGCUACAGUCGGCCCACGGUGUUUUGCUCUGCUCAGAAGCCUGCAUUUUAAAUGUGCUUGUUAUAAUGGACUUAACUUAAAGAGAACAACAAAAACAAUUCAUACUGUUACUACUCUUCCCCAAUAUUCCACCUGGGAACGAUUUUGUACUUUCUGUUCUUUGUAUCAUCAACAUUGAAGAUUAUUUUUUUUUGUCAAUUUUGGCUUCAUGGAGCCCAUUAAACGAUUUGUUGAAAAUA